UUUCGCAUUAAGAUUAUUCCUUAUAAGAGUAACUCGUAUCUAAUCUCUGAUUAUAAAUAAAAAUUACAAGUAUAUUUGUACUUAUUUUUAUUUUUAUAAGAAUAAGCGGUCAAUAAAUAAGAGAAAUCUAAAAUUAAUAUCAAACAAGUGAACUGAUUAAGAUAAUUAAUCAAAAAAAAAGAUCUACAUAUUCUCUCGAAACGAUUAUUGAUAGAGUUUGAAGGUAUCGAAUAGAAGAACAAUUCGAUUAUCGCAUGAGUUAUCGUUUAAGUAAAUAUCUCGAUGUAUAUUAGAUGAAUUGAAUCGAAGAUCUGAAUUGGUCAAGGUUUUUGGACAGAGUUCACAUGGACAUCAAGUAAUAAUUUUCGCUGCGCAUUGUGAAAGAUGCUGCUACCUGUGAAAGAUAAAAUCUUUAUAUAGAAUAAGGAUCGAUUACAGAAUAUCAAUCGUCAGAUAUUCUACAACAUUGGAAUUGAUGGAACAGCUAGUAGAAGAUACACAUGACACAAACCACGCGUACAGAAUGUUGGUCUCGGUGCGUGGAUAAUCAAAGAGCGCAGAAACAAUAUCAAGAUCAAUUACGUAAAAGGAACAGAAAGAAGAAGAGG